rnacentral:lncRNA from 1 species
CACACUUUAAUAUUAAAAAAAAUAUUUCGAAAAAUUAAAUCUUUAUUCAUAAAAUUUAGGGUCUUACAAUAUAUAUAUCAGAAUUUUGAAGUACACACAUUUAUAUAGGGCAAAGGUCCAAAAAUACCCCUGACGUUUACUCUGAUAUCUCACUUACACCUUGAAUUAUUAUUUUUUCAAAAAUACAUUUGAUAUUAUAAAUUUUGGGUUAACUGUGUCCUUACCGUUAACAGACAUGCCACCUAUACUAACGUGGCCGACACCUAAACAAAUUUGAGUGACAAGGAUGACACUUGGACAAAUUUUUGUUACCCAAAAAAUUUAGAUCCAUUUUCUUUGUUCUAAACUCAUCUUACUCAGAUCUAUAUUUUGUGUUUGCCGAUUAGAGCUUCAACGAUCAGAGCUUCAACUUUUAUGCCAUUUCUCGAAGUCGUUCUCCAACAUAACGCUAAAAGAAACCUUUUCAUCUCUCUUUCUCAUUUCCUUCGCAGCCUUAUAAGGGUUUUGGAAGACAAGCGUGGCUAAAAAAAAUCCCCAAUUCAUCACCAUGAGGUUCUUCUGAUAUGAGCUCUGAGCUUUCCGGAUUAUGGGUUCUCUCUUCUCUGGUGGUUUUUAUGGAUUCUGGGAUGCUCUCGAUUAAUCCAUGUUUCAUCGUGAUUUGGGUUGAUGCAGCAUCUACUGAAUAUCAUGUUCAUGCUUUGAUCAGGGUUCUGUUAAGGUUUCCAUCUCAGUUGAAUUAGGGACGAUUCUUAUUGAUUUUAUUCGUCUGAUUUGGUGUUUUACUUUCAAUCAGUUUCAAUUUUGGCUGGUUUGGUUUUGAUUUUUUUUUCUUCUAAUUAUUUGGUUUGGUUUUGAUUUGGUGUUGGGUAUUUGGGUUUCGGUGCUUUUAGUUUCACUCUUGCAUUUGACUGGUUGAAUCUUAGGUUGUUGUCCCUCACCAAGUUUGGGCUGCUGGAAUUUGGGUCUUUGACUCGUCUGAUUCCGUGUUUUCUUGGUUCUGGAUAUCAUUUUGUUUGCCUAUGAUAUUCAGAGUUUGGUUGGGCUUGAGCUGCAUCUCUUGAUGCCGUUAAUGUCGUGUAAUAAUCGAAAACAUGGAGGUUGUUCAUCCUGGAUCUAAGCAGCUUCGUCCGAGUUAAAUUUGUUUACAGAGAAUGGGUUUAGAGAGAAAAUGAAAGACACUAAAUGAUGAUUGGAUGAGUUUAAAAUUAAGUUGUUUAAUUUGUUUUAAUAAAGAGUUAAAAUUCUAUCUUCAUGAUUUGCCACUAAAAUUUGUUUAGCCACGUUAGUCAACGUUAAGUGUAUUUUUGAAAAAAAAAUAAUUUAAGAUAUAAUUGGGAUAUUAGAAUAAAUAUCAAGAGGGUUUUUGGAACUUUGACCCAUUUAUAUAUAAUGCAAUUUUUACUUUGUGUGGACGAAGACGAUCGCUUUCCAUGGAGAUAGGUGCCAGGUAUAUAGCUAUGAGCCUAUGACAACCUGCCUAAUUAUAUGAAUUAUUCAUCCUCAUCUCAUGGUUUCUUGUUGCUUCGAAAUAGCUCUAUUAAUUUCUUUUGGAAAGCAUUUAAUCGAAUAUUAUUCCUUUCGGGCAUCGCUUUCAAC